GCCGGGUUGGCUCAAUGGACAUAGCAUCAGCCUGCAGAUUGAAGGGUCCCAGGUUCGAUUCCUGGUCAGGGCA
rnacentral:tRNA from 1 species